GGCCAAGCCAUUUCAUUAAGGAAUCUCUGAUAUAUUUUCAGAUCUUUCCUCCUGGGCUGGCCAGAUUCUGCAGAGAACAUCUUCCAGUUGUCUGAUGCAUAGUGAGGGCCUGGCCAGCAUUCUAGGACCUGAGGGGGCAGGUAGAGAGGAGUCGCAGCACCCAGGGUGCACACAUGUUCGCUGAAUCCCCUUUGUCAGUAGGACUAAUGUCUGCUGUGUCCUGUGCCUCCCAAUUCAGAGA
rnacentral:lncRNA from 10 species